rnacentral:rRNA from 1 species
UACAGAGGUCCCAAGCGUUGUUCGGAUUCACUGGGCGUAAAGGGCGAGUAGGCGGCCUUCUAAGUCAGACGUGAAAUCCCCCGGCUUAACCUGGGAACUGCGUCUGAUACUGGGAGGCUCGAGUAUGGGAGAGGGAUGUAGAAUUCCAGGUGUAGCGGUGAAAUGCGUAGAUAUCUGGAGGAAUACCGGUGGCGAAGGCGGCAUCCUGGACCAUUACUGACGCUGAAUCGCGAAAGCUAGGGGAGCAAACGGG